rnacentral:rRNA from 1 species
AUUGAACGCUGGCGGCAGGCCUAACACAUGCAAGUCGAGCGAGCGGCGGACGGGUGAGUAAUGUAUGGGGACUGCCCGCUAGAGGGGGAUAACUACUGGAAACGGUAGCUACUAACGCAUACUAUCGGAUAACCCAUAUGGGAUUAGCUAGUAGGUGCGGUAAUGGCUCACCUAGGCGACGAUCCCUAGCUGGUCUGAGAGGAUGAUCAGCAACACGGGGACUGAGAAACGGCCCAGAUUCCAAGGGAGGAAGCAGUGGGGAAUAUUGGACAAUGGGGGAAAGCCUGAGGCAGCCAUGCGGCGUGUAUGAAGAAGGCCUUAGGGUUGAAAAGUACUUUCAGUCGGGAGGCGUUACCGACAGAAGAAGCACCGGCUAACUCCGUGCCAGCAGCCGCGGUAAUAC